rnacentral:lncRNA from 10 species
CUGAAACCCACUCCCACCCAUUUCAGUCAUUAAAGAUCUUAAGUAGUUUAGACACACGCCUUUGCUCAAGGAAAUUCACAGAAACCGCCACUGUUACACAUCUUAUCGAAUGACUCACUGAUUAAUCCUUUUCCUCAUCCCUUCCUCCCCUUCCCAUCUGCCCUAAGAACAAAGAGCUUGUAAACCAAUAAAUUGGGUGGAGCCCAGAGCUCUGGGCCGUGAGCAAGCCUCCAACGCUCUGGUCCCCUGGACCUGCCUUUUAAACGCUUGUUCUGUCUCUUUCUAACUCCUUUGUCUCCGCCGGACUCGGGGUAUCCGCUGGGUGGUGUGGGGCUGGUUUCCCCAACAGCUUUCUCUCCACCCAGCUUCAUAGAUGACACCCUGCCUGCUAGGCCAGAUGUUCUCCGGCCAAGAACACUAUUAUAGCUGCCUGGCUUCUCCCUGAGCAGCGUCAGGUGUGAGGAGUGCGCAUGGCAGCUGCCCAGUGACAGUGUUCCACGCCUUGGUCAAUGGUACCACCAGCCAGCGAGGUUCCCAAGCCAAGAACUUCGGAAGCAUCCGUGAUUCUUCAUCUUCCACAUCCACUUUAUCACCGGAAGCACGCAUUCAACUUUCUAAACAUCCCUCAGACUGACCCACAUCUUUCUAUCCACUUUUCACAUCUUGCUUGAAUGACUUCCCCAGGCCCAGCCAGUCUCCCGCCUCCAGCUCCGCCCCCUUCUGACUCCCUUUAUGUGGUACAAUCAGAGAGCCCUUCCCAAAGCACAAAUCUGCUUUCACUGCUUUGCUUCAAGCCCUUUCGUGGCUCCUAUUUCCAGCUGGAUGAGGUCCAAGCCUCUUAACGUGCUGUACGUGUACAUGCCUGACCCCCGCUACUUGACCAGCCAAGUUUCUUCAUAGCGCUGUGUCUUUGUUCCUCCUGCCUAGAAUGUCCUUCCCCUUUUCUCUCGCUUCAUGGUGUGCCAAACUCCUAUCCUGUGAGAUCCAGCUUACACGUCAGCUUCCCCGUGAUGCUUUUCCUAACUCCCUAUUCAGCCAGUGAAGUGCUCCCUGCGUUCCCAUGUGGCUUGUAUCUCUGUAAAAGCUCCACAGAGCUGUUUUAAUUUAUCCGUUAAUGUACAUGUCUUCCCCACUAGACUUUUGCUCCUUAAAGUAUCUCCUUCAUCUCUGCUUUGCAUAACCUAACAGAGUUCAACACAUAGGAGUGUCUUAAUAAAUGCUGAAUAAAAUAAUUAAUAAACAAAUGAAACAAUACAGCAAACUGUUGAUUCUCCAAAAUGUUUUCUUGAAGAAAAUGUGUUCUUCCUUUCUGAGCCCAAUUCUAUGACUUCUCAUUUCAUCCAAGAUCUUGAUCCAUCAGGUACCAAGGUAGACUUUAGGUAUACAACACUGGACAUUAAAAACACUAUAAAGCUACAAUAAUUAAAAUAGAAUUCAACUUGACACAAAGUAGUCUGUGAAACAGUAGAGCUCCAAACCAGACCUAAAUAGUGACAAAAUUAGGUACAUAACAAUAGCCAACAUAUAUGUGGCAUUUAGUCAUGUUUCAGGCAUGCUUCAAAGUGCUCUAGAUACAUUAUUUCAUUCAAUUCUCACGACCAUCGUGUGAGUAGACACUAUUAAAACCAUUUUACAGAUAAGCAAACUGAGGCACAGAGGGGUUAAGAAAAACUUGCCCAAGAUCACCAAUCCAGCAGUUGUUGAAGUUAGGAUUUAAAACCAGGCAGGCUGGUUCCAGAAUUCAUGCAUUUAACCUUUCUCCUAUGACAUAGAUGGUAUCAUGCAUUAUUGACUAAAGAAAAGGUUAUUUGGUAAGCAACAGAAAAAGGAAAGGAAAUCACAGAUUCACUAUAUACUCUGUCCUGAAAUAAAAUUCAGAUGUUUUAGAGUUAAACAUUUAAAAAAAAGAAAAUAUGAGUAAGUAUUAACUUGAUAUUGGAAAAGAG